ACGGGGUGCAGCAGGCGCGAACACUUUACAAUGCGGGAAACCGCGAUAAGGGAACCCCGAGUGCCAGCAUCAAAUGUUGGCUGUCCAGAUGAUUAAAAAUCAUUUGUUAGCAAGGGCCGGGCAAGACCGGUGCCAGCCGCCGCGGUAACACCGGCGGCCCGAGUGGUAGCCGUUUUUAUUGGGUCUAAAGGGUCCGUAGCCGGCUUGAUAAGUCCUUUGGGAAAUCUGGCAGCUUAACUGUCAGGCUUCUAAGGGAUACUGUCAGGCUUGGGACCGGAAGAGGUAAGGGGUACUCCAGGGGUAGGAGUGAAAUCUUGUAAUCCCUGGGGGACCAUCUGUGGCGAAGGCGCCUUACCAGAACGGGUCCGACGGUGAGGGACGAAAGCUAGGGGAGCAAACCGGAUUAGAUACCCGGGUAGUCCUAGCUGUAAACGAUGCUCGCUAGGUGUCAGACACGGUGCGACCGUGUUUGGUGCCGCAGGGAAGCCGUUAAGCGAGCCACCUGGGAAAUACGGUCGCAAGGCUGAAACUUAAAGGAAUUGGCGGGGGAGCAC
rnacentral:rRNA from 1 species